UAUCUCCGUCACGGAGGAGGACAACAACAAGACCAUGUGGCUCUUCAAUGCACAGCCUGAUUUCAAAGCGGGAAACAAGGUGUCGAAGAAAAGCCCGCAGUGUCUGCUGGAGCACAGCGACAACAUUUCUAUUCACAUCAGCCAUAUUGAAAUGUUUGCAGUGGCUCGACAAUUCAAACAAUCCCAAUGCUCAGACUGCUGCACUGCUGUCAGGUUAAUAGAGCAAAUCUCGAUGAGCAAAGUACCGGCCCCAUUCAGACGGGCUGGGGAGGAGCAGUGGGAGGGGUUUAUGUCUGCAGCCACGGGUUCAGGAAAGCAGACAGAGGCUGAGCGCACCGAGAGAUUCACUUUUCACCAAGCAACUGUUUUCACUCACUUUGUGUCCGCGCUGUCGAGUCGCUGUCUUCUGCACCGUGAUUAGACAGUGGAGCCAGUGGCGCACUAGAGCCGGUGCUCUGAAUCCGACACUAAAACUGUCUCUCUAACAGAGGUUCGAGUUUCAUUAUUUAAUUACAGGGAGACAAUAUGCUUGUAAUAAAAAACACUAUCGUUCACAUAAACUGUGAAAUAGAAAAUAGUGAAUUUCAGAUUUUUUUUUUUUUUUUUUUCCCCAUUUUAGAAAAACAUUUUCAGAUUGAAGAUGUUUCGGGGUACACCGAAAAUCCAAAACCCGAGUAUCCAUAACCCGAGUACCCAUAACCCGAGUAUCCGUAACCCGAGGAUCCAUAACCCGAGAAUCCAUAACCCGACGCUUCUCCUAUUAAAAGUGAAGUCAUCAGUCAUUGUGAAGCCAGAAGGAACUCUGAUCUCUAACUAUGGGUGCAGUCAGCACAAGAAUAACUUGGACGCUGCAGCAGACACUGUUGAAUGUCCGGGAUGCCAUCUCUCGGGUUCACAUUCAGGCCGUUUACGCGGAGCCUGAUGGGCUGGUUGUCACCAUCACCUUUAACAGGCAGACACAGCUCAUAAGGAACAUCAACGAGGAAGAUGAAACUUUGCGGAGUCAGAUGACGAAAUGCUGAGGAGGAGGAACCCGAGGGACGGGAUCUCUCCGCAACAGGCACCGCAACAACAAGAAGGAAAUGCUUCAGUCCUGUGGAUGGCGCUGAGAGAGAAGGAAAACUCGCAUACUUCGUCUGUCCCUCUGUCAAAUAGAGAUCCUCUCAGAAAUCAACAUCCAACGUUCAGCGUUUCACUGGAAGCGGUGCUGUGGAUUCACUUGUCACCAAGCUGCUGUUUUCACUCACUUUGUGUCCGCGCUGUCCCUGUCUGAAGACACGGAGGUGGAUUGAACACACUACUGCGCACCUUGUCCGUGUUUUUGGGACUGUUUGCUGGAGUCGACGGAAGAUCAGACGCUCUGAAAAAAUCGGAAAAAACAGAACAUUUCUCCCUCCAUUCGAGGUUGGGUUGAGGAUUUAACUUGAGUAUGAUAGAGAGAUCACAGAUAUUUUAUUACAUUUUUUUUUGGUUUUUUUGAGUUUUCGGAAGAUUUCCAUUUUCCAUGUUUGGAAUACUGAUAUAGCGACAUUCAACAUUUUAGAUGUUUGUCUUCAUAUGUACCCACUGUGCUAUUGUGUCUCCCCAUUCUCAUUAAAGUCCACAUCUUAACUCUGCUGUUUUCAUAUUAUAUUAGCCUGUUGUUUAAAAUGUUCUUUCAUGACAAAUGCGAAUAAAAGCAUUCAUAUCUAA